GGGGUAAGCUUCUAGGGUUCCGAUUCGAUCCGAAUGACUGGACCGAGAGAAGCAGCCGGAUCUAAAGAUUCGGUCACACGGCGGGAUAAAAGCCCGGGAGAG
rnacentral:sRNA from 2 species